CAACUACUUCCUCUGUCCCAAAUUUCUUGUCUUAGAUUUGUCUAGAUACGGAUGUAUCUAAUACUAAAAUGUGACUUGAUACAUCCGUAUCUAGACAAAUCCAAGACAAGAAUUUUGGGAUGGAGGGAGUACUUU
rnacentral:pre_miRNA from 1 species